CCCCCCGCCCGCCUGCACUUGUUGCAGACUUCGCGCCAGAUGGAAUUUCAUGACUUGCUGUAUUUUGAAUAGGACAAGGAGAUGUGUCUGAUAAGAUAUGUCACUUUGAGAUCGCAAAAUGAAAGCAGCAUGAAAUGUUAUGGCAAAGACAGCACAAGAAGAUACAAGAAUCUCACAGAUCCUCAAAAAUCAGGUAAUGUCAGAGCAUCGUGUGUCCAGUUUUUUGAAGACUGUCUUGUUCAAUAAGGUUCAGUGCUUUUUGCCUUCUUUUCAAAACUGAGGCUUGUGAGUCCCUGUGUAUUGAUGGACUUCUGAAACAUGGUUGAUUGUGUGUUGGCUGUUUAUCUAGUGAAACACUAUUUUGUGUGCCACAGUAUGUAUGGCACAGGAGAUACACACACAUUUGUCUAUUUUUUAAAGGACUACUUUGGCUAUAUUGUCUUGUUUAAGCAAAAGGACAUUGCCUUAAUAAAAACAACAACUUAGCAACCAUGGUGGUCAGUUCUUUACAAUCACUGGAUUUGACUUGGCUCCCUUGCUAGGUUACCAAUAUGGUGUAUUUUAGAGGGAUGGACUUCUCAGAGAGUCCUGCAGCUGCAUUUCUCGAAACUCUUUCCUUUGGGGGAGACACCAGGCUCAGAAUAGCUGUUCCCACCCCACUGAAAGCUUAGCCAUAUGCUAUUUUCCACAUACUACUACUUGUGCUUGGUUUUUUUGAUUGUUUAUCUGUCUCAGGAUGUUUCCUACUUGCCUGUUUUUGCAAAUGCUAGCAUAUGUUCUUUGACUGUUUCGGAGCAUUUCCAUUGCCAGAAAAAGGCAAUCGCAUUACACUCCGCUCCUCAGAGUGUAAACACUGCAGAGGUCAGGAAGAAACUGCUUAAGUGCAUUACAGGGGUGCUCACCUUAAACUAAAAUUGCAGGUU